AGCAGUUUCUUCAGAUUGUCACCUGCUUCAGCCCGCAUAGCGUCAAAGUGGAACCUGAAAGGCUCACAAAAGGCACAAUGAAAAUAAAGGGCAUUACUGAUGAGCUGAUAUGGGGCUACGUUAUCAGAGUCACUUAGGUGCUAAGAUGGUGGAGACAGUUAUCCCAGGUGGAGGAAGAAUGGAAGUACCAUGACAGGAGAAGGAAGCCUGCCAUCACUAUUUUCAC